rnacentral:lncRNA from 10 species
AAUACUUCCUAGGUGAUUCUGACGCAGGCGCUCCACGGAAACCCUCCGAGAAUUCUGGGGGCCGUGGGGCCGCCCAGCUCAGUCCGGAGCUCCGGAACUCGGGGAAGAGCGUCCGGGAGCCGGGUCUGGGUUCCGCACUCCGUCCGCCCCGAUGGCAGAGAGUGAGAUACGGACGCCCCGGGACGAGGGGCUCAGGACCCGGCUACGGACACCUGCCUCCAUCUCCCUCCAGGAAGUGGGGUAGUAACCAGGACUGGAAUAAGAGCGAUGAAUGGAAGGGCGUUGUGAGCCUGUGAUCGAUGCGAUCAGAGUUCUAUUACGUUUUAAAGAGACAGCACCCGUGACGUUUAAGGUAUUUCACCCCAAUAAUAAAAUAAUAAUGCCAGAAGCUGAAGAGUAAUCAGGACCUCAGGAUUACUCAUAGAUAACACAAGUGUGAAGAGAGGGGAGAGCAGCAAAGGCUGAGCUGCGUGUGCCUGGUCCCUUCCAGACUUUCCAGAUAACUUUGCCCCACGGAGGACAAGGAAAGCCAAAAGAGAGAAGCCAGGAUUGUUAGUCUUGGAAAAUGCCUCCAUAUAGAAACAUGAGCCGGAGAAUAAAUCACUUGCCUCUCUAACCAGUUGGAUUUGGUCCGUGAGUUCCUAGUUUUGUUCACCUGACUUAGUCCCUGACUUUUAAAGUCAAGUGCAUCAACAUGCUGCCAGUACUUUGAUGAACAUCUAUACAGGAUCCAUCUCUACAGCAGUGAAUUCCACCUGGGGUAAAGUAUGCAUGUAGGUUAGGAUGCUACAGUGGGACUCUGUCUGCUUUUUCUGUCUGUUUCUGCUAAGGCCUCCACACAUUAGAUGGUCAGUACUCUUUGUUCUAUGGGAAGGGCUAGAAUACCUAAACAGGACUUUCACGGAGGGAGCAACAAACCAGUUUUGUGGCUCUCAGCAAACAUCCAUCUCAAAGGUGAGUUUGGAAAUAAUGGAGAGUAUGUCAGUGUGUUUGUGUCUCAGGCCUACUUCCCACGCCUAUGGGGGAAGGGUGGGACUUAUCUCUCUCUUCCCUCAAGCCUGCUAAGAGGAGAUUAGACUAUAUUUGAGAUAAAUACCUCCAGCACAGUGACAGCCAUGCAGCUCAUGCCUGUGAAAUCAAAAGGCAAGAGGAUGCGGCUGGCUGGCUGCUCUGAGGGCAGAGAGAAAAGACCAGACAGCUCUUGGAACAGACUGUUCUUCCAGUGACGAUGGGGACAAAGAUGCAUGAGUGUAUCUCCAGGACUGGAUGUGAGCUGCAUGGGAGAAAAAGAGUGCAGGCCUGCAGCCCGGGAAAACCCAAAAGGAUGCCAUAAACCCAACAGGAAGAUGGGUUGUCAGGGCCCCAGGAGCUGAGAAAGGAAUAAAAAUGACAGAGAGAGAAAAGUACAUUGUCCACAUCAUAAAUAACACAGCUGAAUGUGCCCAAUGAGGUCCUCAGAGAACCCACAGAAGUGCCCAUGGGAACAGUUCUCUCUGGGACUCAAACCCAGGGAGAGGUGCUUUUAAACAUGCAAAGAGAGGGAACCAUCAUCAUAUUACAUUGCAGUGUCCACAUGAAUAAGACCCUAACUUACCUCAUAUUUCUCCUCCUUCCUCUGCUUUAAUCCAGGAGGAGCCAGAGACCUCUCAGUAAGUGAAGAAGAGGGGAAAUAGGUAAAAAGCCACUAUUCCCCAUGUUAGAUGAGGAAAUAGGAACAUUCUCCUCCUCUACCCAACACCCACUGUAGCUUUUAGUGGCUGGAGUCAGGAGAGAAAAGUUUUCAUGUUAAAUGAAUUUCAGAGGUUUGACUAUGACAUAGAAAUGGAUAUUUUAAUUACUGAAAUAAAACUGUUUUGUAAUUAGAGGUGACUGGAAGACAUUUUAUCCUCAGCAGAAGAAUAGAUAAGGAUAGGACCUUCCCUCCCCCUUGGACCCCACCAAGGUUUUAUCCAGAGGCAGAGGAAGAAGUAACCCUUUAUGUGAGUUUGAAUGGGCAGAAGAAGAAAAGGAUGAAGUUGUCUUCUAAUUGCACUCUAUGAAUGUUGCUUUUUUGUUAACAUAAAUGUCACAUAUAUUUUUAGCUGGUGUAACAAAAAAAAAAACAUCUCAAGCCGGCUUGCAUAAUAACAGCUUUGGGCACAGUCUGAUCAAGGCCCCGGUUCUGUUUGCUAGUGAUCCUCCUGAUUCUGCCCUCUCUCCAUGCUAGUUUCUUCCUCAGAUUGACAUUCCUCUUGGUCACCAGAUGCCUACAAUCAGCGGGUGCAACUCUCUGCUCCCUGCUCACUUCUGAAGGGGAGAGCAUGGAUACCAACCACAGAACAAAGCCCUGCAGUCUCCCGCUGAGUAGAACACCCACGAAGAAGUGUUGGCCAUUUCCCUAUUGCCAGGGAAAUAUCAUGUAUUGGUUGGAUUAGGCCUGUAUUAAUCCAGUUAAUGGAACAUAGUUAAACUAUCCCAGACCCUCCAUAGACACUAGAGAAAAGGUGAAUCCAACCCAAAUGUAAGACUGCUACUCAAUAGGACAGAAAAGGCAUGGAUGUCAGUGAAAUGGGAAAAAAAAUGUGUGCCAAAGGAGAUCAGGAAGGACUGAAUAGAAGACAUGGCCUUUGAAUUGAAGCCUUUAAUGAGGAAAGGGGAUUGACAUUGUAUGAGGGCCAGGGUGGAGAGCGGGUUGUGAAGAGGAUAGGGAAAAUGCAAGGACACUGCGGAUAUAAGAAUUAAUGGGAGAAUCAUGGGCCACAAAGCAGCAGGAUUAUAUUACAGAGAUUGUAAGUAGUGUUUAUUGAAGCACAGGGUACUGGGGAGGUGGAGGAAAGAUGAAACUGUUAAGGAAUUUAGACACAGCAUGUAGUGGUUGGCAGGAAACAGAUGACACUCUCAAACAGGGUAGUUGAGGAGAGCUAAUAAAGGGACCAUUUACCAAGGUGUAGUUAGGAUUAAGAGAAAGCAAACUGGGAUGGUGCUGUGCUAUGGGCUAGCAACAGCAGGAAGUCAUUUCUGUCCCUAGGUCUGAAGAGGGAAGCAGGGGAGCCAACACCAAGGAACCAGAGAUCUUAGAGUCUGAAAGUCUGCAUGAUAGAAGCCAUGGCCUUUAGUAGAGGGAUCUUGCCUACUCUUAGCAGCCUGGCUUGGAGGGGCCUGGGGAAAUAAUACCCCAACCUCUCUCCUCUUCUUCAAUAUUGAUGACUUCCAUUGGUUAAUAUCAAACUGGAAGUUGGAGAGAAAGGGAGUCUAUCUAUACAAGUCAGCACCCUGUAGCCCAGAAGAGAGUAAAAAGGGGGUAAAAAGCAAUUUCCGAGGGACAAACAGAAAACACCCAGCACAGAAGGAGGAACAAACAUUUGGAGGAACAAACAGAAAAUAUCAGAAAACAUUUUAAUCCUGGGUCCUGGGACGUCAUGGAAGGUUUUGAAGUUAGGAGCACCGCCAUCCUCUAGGGGGAGCUCAAGCAUUUCUCUCCACUCAUCCCAAAGGCGGUGCAUCAAAAGAUCAGGGUGAAACUGACUUCAAGGAAAGAGCCCUCGGCUAGAGGAAGAAGCCUGGAGAAGUAAAGGGAUUGCUCCUGGAAUUGGAAAUCUACCCUUUGCACUUCUAUUUACUGCAUUUGGAUUGAUUUGCAAGAAUAACCAUUAAAAUAAUCAAAGCUAAAAGUAAGUAUGUACUGUGUGCCAAGUUCUUGACUCAUUUGGCACAACUCUUCGGAGGUAAGCACCAUUGAAAUUCUCACCUUCUAGAUUAAGAGGCUGAUAGAACCUGGAUUUGAGCCCAUUGACAAAGGACCACUCUCUGCUCUGUUCUGUUCUCAUGCUGCUGGUUUAGUCAGCUGAGUCAAAGGUUGCCUUUGCUUAGAAGGCCUAACAAAACCAGAGCAGGGUCCAUGGAAAAGGAGACAUGAAAAGGGACAUAUUUCCUGGUAAGAUUUGUAUUCAUUUAACAAUUUUAAGCACAUAUUUAAUAACCAGGCACUCACUACCUGACAAGCUCUGAGCCAGGUGCAGGGUAUCCGAGGGAACUAGGAGAGAGGCACUAAGUGCUGUACUAAGAACCUGAAUGAGUGCAUUUGAGUCCUGGGUCUGCUACAUGUGUGACCUAGGAAAAGUCACUUAAAUCAUUUAACUGUCUCCUCAUCUUUAACAUAUAGAUGGUUAAAAAGUACACAGCACUUGGAAUAAUAAACGGGCAGAUUGUUAAUGUUGAAGGUGUGAGCUGCUGUUCUUACAACACAAUGUCAGCCCUUGAAGCUCUUACAGUAGAUGGAAAGAUGGAGAUGAGUAGGAUCUAAUUAUUGGCCAAGUGCAAAGGAGCUAAAAAGGCCACCCACGCUGCUACUUACUUCAGCAAUACCCAAGGAAACAAGGGCAAAAAAAGAGCUCUAGAGGCUCUUCUUGGUCUAGCCCUGCUUUUGAGUUUGGGGCCAAAGCUCUAAUUCACUCUAAUUCAGGGGUGUUAGCAAGGUUCUUGUCUGGCAUUCUAGCUCUGAACAGUUGAUACCAGCUUCCUGAACCAUGUGUUAAGAGAGAUCUCAGACUGCAUGUAGAGAACGUAUGCCUUGAGAGAUAAGUGAUGUCUGCCAUUGAUUGAGGGUGGAGAGGAGGAGCCAAGUGGUUCUAGAACAGUGUCCUUUUGCCUAGAAUGUCCCUACAGCAGGAGCAGCUGGGCAAGACUCAGAAGUCCUGAUUAUAAUCACAGAUUAAGGUGACCAACUAUCCCAGUUUGCCUAGGACUGUUCCAGUUUUAGAACUGAAAUUCCUGCAACCCAGAAAACCUCUCAAUCUUGGGCACAUCCCAAUCAGCUUUGCAGGCUUUCUCUAUCUGACAAUACCAAAAAAAAACAACAACUAUGAGCUCUGACUAGAAGAGAUUACUCUUUUUGUCUUGGCCAAUUUCAGCCUGUGAAAAUGCAUCUUAUUCUGGCCUGUAUGUGCCAGCCAUAUGCCCUCAAAUGUUCCCCCACUUCACAAUAGCUGACCUCCAUACCUCUCUCCUUUCUCAGCUAUUUUUCCUGCUGUAUCCACUGACGCCUUAGUAGGAAACAGAUGGCACCAUCAAAGGGUUUAGCUGAAGAGAAUUUCAUACAGGGAUUAUUUACAGAGGCGUGGGCAGGGUUAAUGGAACCAACAAGAGCUGGGGAGACAGUCAGGGAUUAGCUCUUACCACAGGAGGUCUGCAGGGACAAAGGGAGGGGAUGCUGUUACCAGCCUGGUAAGAGCUGAAACUGUGCAGGAGAGGUCACUGGGCCUGGGAGCUGGAGCCUCUGUCUCAUCUGCGGUGUGGCAGAGAGGAAAGAGGAGGAGGGCAUAAAAAUCCCUGGCCCGGCUCUCCUCCUGCCCUCUGGCCUCUUGCCAGUAGUUUCUUGCCAGAGUGCAAGGAAAAGCAAAUGAAACAACAGGUCUAGUAGAGGGCAGCCUCCCAGGCCGCAGAGCGUGACAGGAAAAGGCAGAGAACAGAUCUAAGAAUAACCAUCCCAGGCCACCCUAUUGUCACUCAGCUUCCAUUCUAACACUUUACUUAGCCAAAGAAACUCAGGUCCUCAACACAGGGAAAACAUAGUCUCAUCAGCUACUGUAUCACUGAGUGAUGAUGUAUUUCAGUCAUAUUACUUCCUGGACCCUAAACUGUAACUUUAGUCACCACCAGGAUGCAAGGCAGCAAAGAAAGGUAAAAAAAUAAAUAACUAUCAUACUACAGCUCCACAUCUAAGCAUUUCUAAUCUAAUAAUCCUGACUUCCUCCUCCCAGCACUCGUUCCAUAAUUCUUUACCCUCACCUAGCAUCUUGACAGUUAAGGUGUCUUACUUGAUGGGGUGAGCCAAACCUUCCUUGCCACAGGAUCCGGGUGGUUCCAUCUUUGUUGAGUUGCUGCCGUUUCUCAUUGGCCAUUACUACUGGACAUGGGAGUGCAAUGAAUCCCAUGGGCUCUAGAUACAGUGUUGUUUCCAUGUGAUAGCAAAAAUCCCAAUUUCUCCUUGAUAAUCAAAAUUAAUCAUACCAGUCCAUACAAACAGCCAAUGCUCUGCCUUUGAUCAGUGUUGUGAACAACCUGAAAUGUUGAAGGGGCAUUCUCAGUGUUUCCUAGUAGAAAUAUAUCUCCCCCUUGGGCACAAGAACCUCACGCCCAUUAGAUGCAAUGUUUUAGGGACAAGAAGACAGUAUUAUUGAAGUGGGUUAUUACUCAUCCUGAGUUCCCAGAGCCAUGUAUUCAACACCAUGUAUCAACCACUGAUCUGACCACUUAUAGGACAGCACCCCAACUUCACAAGAUGUUGUCUCCCAGCAGGCUCCAUAAAUGAGCCUUCGAUAGGACAUUUCAUCAUUCCAUCAAUCUAGCUGCUUCCAGGUAAGAACAAUGAAUUCUACGAUGUGAGCGUAAUACCACAGCUGUUUCACUGUAAAUGAGUUCCUUGAUCAGUGACAAUGCUGUGUGUGACACCAUGGGGAUGAAUAAGGCAGCCUAUCAACCACAUAUGGUAGUGCUGGCGGAAGCAACAUGCACAGGAAAGGGAAGUUACUCUCCAGUAUAUGUAAUUAUUCCCAUGAAGACAAAUUCCUGCCCCUUCCAUAAUGUAGUGGUCUGAUAUUAUCAACCUGGGUGGCUGAUACUUCCAAGAAAUAGUGCCAAAUAAGGGUUCAGUGUUGCCUUCCGUUUUAGAAAUCUGGGCACUCAGCAGUGACAGUGGCAGAUCAGCUGUGAUGUGAGGAAGUCCAUGUUUAUUUAUUUCAUUGCCUCUGUUCCUAUUCCCAUGGCCACUUUGUACAUGAGACAUUUACCCAAGCACAAACAUGGCCAGUGUCUUAGCAUGCUCAACUGCUUUAACAAAACGCCGUAAACUGGGUUGUUUAUAAACAGCAGAAAUUUAUUUCUCACAAUUUUGGAGGCUGGGAAGUUCAAGAUCAAGGUUCUAGCAGACUCUGCGUCUGGUGAGAGCCUAUUUCCUGGUUCACAGAGGGCCACCUUCUGUGUCUUCAUAUGGUGGAAAGGGCUAUGCAGCUCUCUGGGAUUUCUUUUAUAAGGGCACUAAUCCCAUUCAUAAGGGCACUUAACUUCCCUGGGGACUUAACCUCCCAGUGGCCUCACUUCCUAAUACCAUUCACAUUGGUGAUUAGGUUUCCACAUAUGAGUUUUGAAGGGACACAAAUAUUUAGACCAUAGCAGCCAGGGAAGGAGGCUCACUACAACCAAGGGAUAGGUCAUCUUGGCCACCUCCUCAUUUAGCUUUCUGUGAGGUAGAUGUCCUCUGGGGGAACAUUUAUAUGCUAUUCAAAUAGCCUCAAAGACUAGCCAUUUUUAGAGGUCCAUUAUAUAACUUCCCUUUAGGUGAUCUUGGCACCAACCUUCCAGGUCCCUGAUAAUUUGACCAACCCAUUAGCCCCUGCCUGUGUAUUUCAGGAAACCUCAGCUUAUCCCUUCUUUCAUGUCAGUGGCCAACCAGAUGUACUUCCUGAAGUUCUGUCUAUGGGAAGAUUUUCCUAUGGCUUGCAGAGCCACCCCAGACAGAUAAUUCUUAAACCAGACCAGGCCACUGUCACCCUCUUUUCUCAUCAAAGGGUCAUAGGGAAUACCCGGGGAGACCAGAGGUACGGUUUGAGGGAAAGGCGGGAAGCAGUAAGAAGUCUGACUCAUCAGCUUUUGCAGAGAAGAGAAGUGCUGAGAAUAGAUCUGAGGGUGUGAGGGGAUAAAGAAUAACAGCUCACCCACGUCUGUGCAGUUCUUUACCCUAAAGUUUAAGUGAAAUGAUUCUUCAUCAAGCUUCUUCUCACUUGAUUUAAGAAAAUCCUUAGAGAUAUAACAGCAUCAAUAUUGCAAACCAAUAAGGAAACAAAGCAAUAGCUUAGCCCUUGACAUAUAUUUCUGAUAAGUAAUGUAUUUCAUGGUCUUUCCUAAAUGUACAUGAGGUAGAAGUAGAUAUAUCCAAUGUCUAUACUUAAUUGAUUUUUGCCAGAAAGUCUAUCUUGAAAUGUGAGCUUCUGAUAAAUUCCUUCUAUUUGUGCUUUUUUAGAACAAGUUCCAUUUUUAUGUUGUCUUUGUCAGUGACGGAGGAAAUCAGAUCAAUUUUUUAAAGUCAGUUUUUUAUAUAAGCAUUACUGAAACUAUUGAAAUCUGAAUAUGGUGUUUUUAAAAUAAACUGUGUUAAACUAAUUUGUAAUAUCAGAAGUCAGGAAGGGAAGCAUGAGGGGGCAUCUAGGGGCUGGUAAUGUUGUGUUUCCUCCUGUGGGUAUUGGUUACCUGAGUUAAUUUUUUUUUGUGAAAUUACAACAAGCUGUGCACUUAUGAAAGUUGUACUUUUCUAUACAUGUAUUCUUAUUCAAUAAAAAGAAAAAAAUGAAAGGUGCUCCAUAUAAUGAUGACCUUUUGGCAAACAUUUCCAUGAAAUAGAAACUAGAUGAAAAAAUUUUAUGAAAUGCUGCGUAAUUAGUGGAUUCUUCUGGCUAAACAGCCCAUCAAAAACACUUACUAAAGACCUAGAAUUAUUAAAGACCUAAGAAUGCAAUGACUUGCAUUAGAUAUAGCUGAUAGGCCAGUGAGAAGGACAACAUAUCACAGAUUAAUCAAUUCAUUCACAAAACGAAAACACUGAACACUUACUAUGUGUCAGACACUAGUCUAUAUGCUUGAGGUUCCAUGAGUAAGUAAAUCAUUCCAUGUCCUUGUGGAACUGAUGCCUAGUGAGGGGAGACAGCCAGCCAAUUAACAAUAAACAAUGAGUAAAUUACAUGAUAUGUUAGAUUGAUAAGGGAUGCUUAAGAAAAAGAGCAGAGUGAGUAAGCAUUGUGGGGAAGUUUGCAGUUUUAAAUAGGCUGUUCAGAUCGGCAUCACUAAGAAGGUGAUAUUUAUGCAAAGGUAUAAAGGAGAAGAUAUUGGCCAUAUGGGUAGCUGGGGAAGAGAAUCCAGGCAGAGGGAAUAGUGAGGCAGGAGAGAACCUGACAAGUUCAAGGCAAAAAAGCCAGUGUGAUUAAGACAAAGUGAGAAAAAAGAAAAGGAGUUGAUGUGAGGCCCGGGAAUCAAUGUGGGGAAGGAGAAUUCCAGGCUGCUGCAAGAUUUCCAUUUUCACUUUCAAUGAAAUGGGGCACCAUUGCAGGAAUUGGGCCAGAGAGUGGCAUAAGCUGACAAAUUUUGAAAGUAUCUUGCAGCUGUUUUGAGUAGAGGCUGAAGAGGAGAAAUAAUCCAGGUGAAAAAUGAUGGUAGCUUGGACUAGACUGAUAGCAGUGGACAUGUAAAUAAUGGUCAGAGUUUGAGUAUAUUUUGAACAUUGACCCAACAGGAUUUGUUGAAGGACUGGAUACGAGAUUUGAGGAAAGAGAAAAGUCACAUUUGAUUUUGAGGUCUUGAUCCUGAACAAGGAUGAAGCUGUCAUUGACUCAGCUUCAGAUCAGGGAGACUGUGGGCAUAGGAGGAUUGGAGAGGAAGAUUAGAAAUUCAGUGUUGGGCACAUUAGGUUUGAAAUGUGUAUCAGACAGUCUAAUAGAGAGGACAAGUAGGGAGUUAAGUAGAAGAGUUUAGAGUUUAGGAUGAAUGUAUGAAUACAAAUGUAAAUUUCACAUUAAUAGCCAUAGAGAUUAUAUUUAUAAGACUAGAUAAUAUAACACAGAAGAGAGUACAUAAUAGAGACAAGAACCAAAGACUAAGGCCUGGAGCACUACCAGAGAAGCACCCAAUAAUAUAGAAAGAAAGAACAGCCAGUUCCAUCCCAGAGUAUUUCAAGUCUGCAACAGGACUAGUUGACUUAACACCACUUGCCACUGUAAUAAUUACUUCCCAGGAAAAUAAGUCCAAGGAUAUUUUUCCAGUUUCUAUGCCAAGCCAUGAUAAUGAUUAAUUGCACAGUACCUGGCACAUGGUAAGAGCUUCCUAAUUAUUACAAGUUGUUGAAUGAAUUAUUUCAGGGCUCUGGGAAUAAGCCAAAAUCUCUUGAGACUUGAGCCUUUAUUAGAGAGACCUGAUAUAUGAGACACAUUUAGGGCCUUUCCCUUUUGGGCUCUCCAGGAAUAUUGAGGACCAGAUAUAUCAAGGUGAUCCAACCUGAAACUAAACUGGAAGCCAGCAGGCUGCUCCAUGCAAAUCAUCUGUGUUUCCUUCCUAAUCAAUUCUAUCUGUUGUUUUUUUUUUUUUUCCUUGAACAUCUAUCCUUCUGCCUCAGAGCCUUUGGACUUGCUGUUCUCUUAGUCUGGAUCAUCUACUCCUUUGAAUAGCUCAUUGUCUCUCUUUACUGAAGUUUCAGUUUAAAUUCACCUCUUCAGAGAAGCCUACGACUACUGUUGAUCACUAGUGAUCAUUGUUUGGCCUCAGCCUACACUAGUCUCUUCCACUUAUCUUUCUCUUUAUACCACUUACUACUGCCUGCCAUGGUAUUAUAUUUAUUUGGUUGGUUGGUUAUCCUCUGAUUCUCCCACUAAAAGGCAGUCUCCCUGAGACAGGGAUUUAUUUUGUUCUUCUUCCAUCCGCAAUAUGUAGAUCUAGAACAAAGCCUCGCCACUAGCAGGAAACUUGAUAAAUGUUGGUUUAUGAAUGAAUCCACUCUCUCAGAUCUGUUCCAGAUACCACUGGACCAGUUAAAAAUUAUAUGGAUUUCCCACCAUGUGGAAAGAUUAUUAUUCAGCAUAAGUAAAAGUGAAGAACACGUGAUCCCAAACCCACAAAAGCCUGCAAUCCGGUUGCUCUAGGUUAGACUGUUAGGCUGAUAGCAGUUUACUUCCCAUAAUUCUAUUUCCUGCCAGGCUCCCGAGAGGAGAGACAGUGCUUUGGGUGAAGAACAACACUCAUUUUAGCAGAGGUUCCAUGGUGUUUUCCAUGAGAGUCAUCUCUGGGCAAACAAUGUAAGCUUCAAAGUAAAUUUAGUUUCUCAUCUGGGAUGAAUAACUUGUAAUUGUGUCUUAUAAAUUGUACCCAGCAAUCCUUUUCUCACCCCUAGCCCUUGAAGAUUGGAGGAAAUGGUGUUUCUGACUACACCAGUAACAGGAUGGGAGCUUAUUUUAAAGACACUUGUAGGAAAGGCUUUGGAGAAAAACUAGCUUAUCGGGAGACUCCUAAUUCAGGAUCUUAUAUCCUUGAUUAAACUCUGACUUUUACAAUUUCCCAAAGUACACACACACACACACGCACACCAGAAUUAACUGAUUCAGAAUGAAACCAGCUAACACAGUGGCGCAUUGUGUAGAGGUUGAUCUCUAUUGUGACCUAACUCCAUGGACUACAUGGAGUUAUAAGAACCAAAACUAGGUAUUUGUGUGACCAAAAGAUAAGGAAAUUAAGAAUACCUAAGGCUAUUAAAGGAAAAAAAAUAAGAAGGUAAGCAAUAAGAAAAGCUUUCAGAGUCUCACAGCUCAGUCCUCUGUUAGGAGGUAAAAGUUUUAUUUCUGUCUCAAGCGUAGGCUUAGGCAAACCCAAGUCUUGCUCUUUGUGGUGGGCUUAUGAGCAGGGUGAAUGGAAAAAGGGAAAUUCCUGGCAAGCUCUGGCUUGGAGAUGGUACAAAAAAACCUCAGUAAGUAUAGUGUAUUUCCUUCUUUCCUGAAUCCAUACUAACUUGCCCAGUAAAACUUUCUUUAGUCCUUUACUGAUUCCAAGACUUAUUUUAAUUUUUGCCUUUCAAUUCUUAUUUCCUUUCCCACAGAUGGUACUGGCUAAAACAGAAGCCUGUAAAAGUAAAGCUUAAAAGACGUUCUUUCCUUUUUUUGGCUUUAAAAUGUUUCACAUGACUACAUGAUAGUCCCACCUCAUCCACCCACACUUACAUUUUUCCUCUUCCUAGCAUUAAUAGGUCUAAACAUGCAGUUAGGCAGGAAAUUUAGAAUAAGAAACUUUAUUAUUUUCUUGCCUCUUAGAGGAGUUUUCAAAAAAAUAUUGGAGGGGUUCUGAUUCCAGGUACAACGGAGUAAGUGUACUCACACCACCCUGUUCCUCCCACUGAAUGCGGCUAAAAAACCUGGGCAGAAUAAGUGGAGCAUCUGAGGACUCUGAAAAGUAAAUAAUAGCAGGCAGAUUGGAGAUGAAGACCAAAAUGCAAACCUUUCAUUGGAGAACAGUCUUCCCCCACACCAUCCCAUAGAAAUACUGUUCACUAUAUCUGGUUCAGGAGGACUGACUCUCCCAACUCCUUUCUCCAGGAGUGGAUACAUGAUCCAGGACUGGCCAGAAUUCUACAUCAAGCAGCCCGUAGGCACGGAGGAGAAUACAAAUUAGAGGAUCAGCCAGCAAACUUGAUGGGUGAUGAGAACUGUUCAAGACAACCCUGAAGAUGUUGCUUAUUUGAUAAGGUUGCUGGUGCUGCUGCUACUGAAGAUAGAACAACAGUUAAGCUUUCUGUGUAUGUGUGUGUUUUCCAUCUGUUUUUCUUUGUAAUCAGUCGGUAUAAAAGUGAGCAGUGAAGAAUCGGGGGGAAAUAAAUGUACUUUUUAAACAUGUUAAAUUUGGAAAAUAUCUAGAGCUCAGAAGAAAAGUGUAAACUUAAGUUAGAGAUUUGAGAGUUAGUGAAGCUCUAAGAGGGGCAGAGUGUAAAGGUGAGGGCAACAAGUAUAUGUGCACACACAAUCACACACAUACACCGGUGGCAGGCAAAGAAAGAUUAAAUCCCUUCUUAGCAAAACUUCAAUUCUGAGAAGAUUUUUCCUAUCUGAAUUUGUUGAACAAUAUUAGAGAUUUUUUUUUUCUAACCACUUCAUAAAUAAUAAAACUGAGCAACAGAGAGGAUGGGUGGCUGACUUGUUAAGGAACUCCUAAUUAGUGCUAAAGAGUCUUAAAACCUAGGUUUCUGGGCUCCCAAUUCCAGGUUCCUUGGAAGUCAAGAGAAGACAAAAACAUACGAUCAUUUACUUUAUCCCUAACUUCACUUGAAUAAAACAUUCCAUAAGAUUAAGGUUAAUGCUUCCUUUGUCUGACACAUCUAUUUAAGCCAUAUGUCUGGUUAGUUUCAGCACGUUACUAGGCCAGUUCAGCAAUGCUCGAAAGCAAUUCAAUUUUCAAAGAACAGUUCUCGAGAUACAUACAAUAAAGCUCAGAUUAACCAGGAAUCAUCGAACCAGAGUUGUUUUACUUUCUACUUAUAAAGAACAUAAGAAAGCACUCUUGAUCUAAGGCAUGACACUGAGCUGGCUCACACCUGCUCUGAUCUUUAUUACUUUCUGUAUGUAAAAUUCUCACAGUACAGUAACUGUGAGGAAAAUAAUAAUUUUGUGCACAAUACUUUAGGUAGGAAGGAAACUAUAUUAAUAAUAAUUCAAUUUAAGUAGAAAUAUAAGUAAACUUAAUUACAGGCUUUUGAAAAUCCAAGCCUAUUUAUUUUAUCCAGUUUUAAAAUUCAAUUCCUAUUUAUUAACUAUUUAAACCUACUCUGUGGAGCAUACUUAUACCCCUCGAAAUUAUCAGAAUUAAGAAAAAUUCAGUAAUUCCUGUGUCAAAAAUAUUCUGUAAAAGUAAACUGUUCAACAGAGAAAAAAAAAAACAAAAAUACUGCAUGAAGCACAUAUGGUAAACAAAAAAACUGAAGUGAUUAUCAUAAUCAUGAAUUUUAAGAAACUGAAAAUGAUUAUCAAGGUAAACAAUAUAUGAAAUAUAACAAAUCCAAACAAGAUCAUGUACCUACAAAACCAAUUUUUCUAAAUACCAUCCUAACUUUUAAUAGCAGAAAAUAACAUUGUUUACUGCCUAAAACAUUGUACAGAAGAGAGAGCUCUAAAAUACUAAUCACAAGCCAAUAAAUCUUACCUUCUACAACAAAUUGCCCACUUCUGAAAUUUGUUUUCAUUACUACUUUUCUAUGUGCACUAACUUAAAGAAUUGCAAUGGUACAGUAAAAGAUACUUUGCAACUAGAAACAAAAUUCUAGAUUGUUUUCCAAAGUUGGGUACUUGCAUAUUAAAUUUUCUCAAAAGGAGACCCACCUGUGUAAUGUUCUUAUCUAUCUGGAACAGGGGUUGGUAAACUUUUUCUGUGAAGUGCCAGACAGUAAAAUAUUUUAGGUUUUGUGAAUUAUACAGUCUGUCAUAAUUAUACAACUCUGCCCUUACAGUGAAAAAUCUGCCACAGGUAUUACUUAAAUGAAUGGGCAACGCUGCAUUCCAGUAACAACUUAUUUCCAAAAAUAGACAACAGGCUAGAUUUGGCCCAUAAGCUGUAGUUUGCUGAUCCUUCACCUAGAAAACCAAAUUUUCUCUCAAUUUCUCAUUUCCAGGAAUGUGUAUUUAUUUAUUCAGGAAAAAAAAAUCUACUAAUGGUAAAAACUGGUGUUAGAAUGAUAUACUUUAUAAAUAGAAAAAAACUACAGAAUGUUUUCUCUAGAGACCUGUAAGAGUGAAGAUCUGACUAAUAAAUGAAGGGAAAAAGGUCUCUUCAGAGAUGUUUGAGUCUAGCAUUUGACAAAGUCUAAAUGGAUUAUUUCUUCUAUUUUAGCUAAGCAAGGUCACCCAAUAAGGGUUAAAUAAUUUUGACACCCAUAGGUAGUUCUAAAACUAUUCCAUAUUAGGGCAGAAACACAGUGAUAAAAUGAAAUCUUUCAUUAAAUAUAUUAACAUAGUUCUAUAUUUUGGCUGAUGUUCUGUACCACCUAAGACAAUGCUCCACCAACAAGGUUGAAAGACAUUUAUGGUAACAGCAACAUAAUUACUGCAACUCUUGGUGUAUAAUGACAACUGUAUUAACGAGAUAUGAUUUACUCCCUGGAUAACUCCAAGAACAUAGGACACAGAAUAAAGAAGUAAACAUCUCAAACCUUGAUAAAGCAACAACUACAAACUUUCCUUUGCCACUCUCUUAAGUGCACCUUUACUUCCCUGAAGUAUCUGCUCCCCUAGCCACAUGGGCCCAGAAACUCAGAGGUUUCAUAUGUAACUGUGCAUCAGAAAAAAGAGCCUGGGAUGGAAAAAAAGAUGCCUGGGUGCAGAGGUGUGUGCAUAUAUGUGUCUGCCUGCCUGUCUUAAAAGUUUAUGAUUGCUUUGAUAUUUAAUAUAAAGCUUGGAACACAAUCAGACUGAGAAAUAUAAUAAGUAUAGUACACCUAAAGCCAUCUGAUAUCCCUCUAAAUGAAAAAAACAAUUAUUUAAAUAUUGGUAAAUAAAAACGAAUAGGAUACACAUUACCCAUGAGAUAAACUUGUCGAAAAAGUUUAAUAUGAAGCUAAUCAGUAGCAAUCAAUCAGACAAAUCUGGAAUGUAGAACCCUUCAUAAGACAAUUCACCUGGAUUUUUCAUAAGUCAAUGUCAUAAAAAAUAAAGGCAGGGAAUGAAUACAGGUUGGAGACUAGACUCAUAACACACAUACUGUCAAUAAUUAUUUCUUGGAUUAAAAAAGCUAUAAAGGAAAUUUUGGGGGCAACCAGAGAAAUCUGAAUACUAACUGUCUGUUAGAUAAUAUGGUAUCAAUGUUAAAUUUCUUGGAUAAUAAAGUAUGAUUAUAUACGGGAAUUCUUAGGUACAUGCUGAAGUAUUUAGGGAUAAAACACUGGUAUCUGCCAUUUUCAAACGGCUCAGAAAAAAGUUUUAUUAAUAUACAGAUAAAGUAGUGUCAUAAAAUAUUAAGUGGUAAAUCCAGGUGAAAGAUUUUCAUGUAUUAAUUUUUCAACUUGUCUGUAGGUUUGAAUUUUUCAAAUUUAAAAUUUUGAGGGAAGGGGGUUUAUCAGGAUAAAGUCUUAGUUUGGCUCCUUCUUGUGGGGUAUAAACAGAUACUUACUUUCCAUUUCAGCUUCCCUUAGUUUAUUACUCUUUCAGUACCAGACUAUUAUCAAUCCCUUAGUUUAUUCCUCUUUUAGUACCAGAUUAUAAUCACUGAGGCCUCAUUUGGUGAAUUCUAUCAAGGGUCAUCUUGGGAGUCACCUCCUUCAGGCAAUUUUUCUUGACUUUCCAGGGUAGGCUAAGGACCCUGUUAAGACAGUUUGUGUUUUACUACCAUGUAGAAAUUUCCAACUACUUUUUUUUGUCCUUUACUAGGCUGCAGGUUCUGGAGGUUCCAGCAUAGUUCUGACACAUGGUAGGCCUUCCAUAAAGGCUUGUGGAACAUUUACCAUCUAGGGCUAGGUGGUAAGGAGCACCAGAGAGAGAGGCAUAGUUUGAAAUCCACAGAUACAGGGAGGAAGAGGCAUUUUUAUUGUAUCAGGCCUAAGGCUAGGCAAUUUAUGGUUACCAUUUUAUUCAGGUAGGUAAUUUUUAAAAAGAAGAGUUCUAGCUGUCCCUCUAUGUAAAUUUAAUAUCUUAAUGUUAGCGAGUCACUUGGAACACUUUGCUUUACAUCAUGCGGCCUCUGCUUAUUAGUCGUAGAGAAGUUAUUUAAACUCUAAGGCAGUUUUCACACCUGUAAAACAGGGACAGUUCUUACUGUGCCUGUUUCACCACAUUUUAAAAAAUAUCAAAUGAAAAUAUACUUAAGUAAAUACGGAAAAAACAGGCAUUAAGUGGAAAGUCUGCACUGUUUUCUCCCUUAAUUCAUCCUCUCUGCAGCUUCUCAAGGUUCCUCUAGUCCUUCGCUGGCUGGAGACCAAAUGGAAAAGAUAGGUCUCUGUCUACUUCAAGGCUAACCUUAGGUAGCUCUGUAAAUUUUGGGGUUUACAUCUUUAAUGCCUCCAAUAUAUUGAGAAUGCGCCAUGAAUUCUCAGUAAGAUUUAUAGCUUAUAAGGCUUUUAGAAAGUUUGCUAUUUACUAAAAACCUGAAAGAAAAUGUUAUUUUAGUCAAUUAUUGAAAAUUACAACAUUUAUUGGUUCAACGAUUAAUCAAUAGUAUACUUUUCCUACUUCUACUGAAACUUAACAGAACAUUUCUUAUCUAUGAUGCAAUUUUUAACUAAAUUGUCUAUACAAAUGGAAAAAAAAAACACCCCAAACCAUAAAUACCACAGAAACUUUUUAAAUUUACACAGUGAUUUCCCCUGAAACCACUGCACAACCAAGCAAAAAAAAAAAAAAAAAAAAAAAAUCAAAGCAAGGCAAAGUUCAGGUUAAGAAGGCAAGCAACUGGCUAUACAUACUGAAAACUUGUCUUCAGGCUACUAACUUACUUUCCAAAUUGGACAAAAGUCAAAAUGCUAAAUUUAUUCUUAGCUUUGAAAAUGCAAUUUCCUGGUUCUGUUAGAUGAGUUUCAAAUCACAUGCUUUUAGGAAACAUGCAAUAUAAACAUGUUUAAAGGCAUAUACUCAAAAAUUUAUAGUAGUUUCACAAGUUCUAAGCUACAAUUUUAUUCCCCAUAUUAACUAUCAGAGUUAGCACAGAGACAAGCUCACAGAUUGCAUCUAAUCUUUGGUUGCAAUUGUUCCACCUGUUAUCUAGCCCUCUAAGAAAUAAAACAACAACGACAACACUUUGAGGUCUCAAUCCACUUUACGAAAAGAAAGCUUUAUGAAAAAGCCUGAACAAUGAAUUCAAACAUUAAGGAGAAAAUGAGAAACGUUAGGUGUGUGAAGUAGGAAAUGUUAAUUUCAUGCACUUAGGAACACACACUCACACCCCACAGUAGUAGAAGCAGUAGAAGAGGAAAACACUACAUGUGUAGGGGUAGAAAUAUUUGUUACAUCAUGAUGCUGGCUGGCGAUGGAGGGUUGCCGCCUUAGAGCCCCCUGAAUGGAACUUCCACUCUGGAAAGCAUUCACUACAUCCAUCUGCAAGGAAUCAGAGAUUGUGACAGCUUGCUCAGCAAGAGAGAGAGAGAACAAGAGAAAGGACCAUUCCAUCUAUCAACAUAUAAAAAGAAAAAGGCACUUUUUACACAGCAUAUAGGCAAGAAUAGCAUUUUGAGAUGAAGUGGGGGAUGGGGGAGCUAGGAAAAAAGGAGCUUAGGGGCAUAUAGACACAUUCUUUCAUAAUCAGUUAAAAGUCUCACUCAUUCCAGGCACCAGUAUUACUUUUCAAGAGAAUACAAUUUGUGGGUUGGGAAGGCUAGAGAGGAAGUUUAAGGAGCACACUCGAACCUCCUCCCCAGGUCAAAAAGCCCUGGCUCCCAUCAUCUCUCCUACCUCUCUACCAGGCCCAUACCUGUGUUUGGAUUCUGUUCAGACCUCUAAACCACAAGAUUUGGCCACGCCGCAACUCCCUUUCAGCGUGAUCAAUCUCUUCAACAUCCUCUGCUAAUUCCUCCUCAGGUAUUUCUUCCUUUUGUGUUCCAUGACCAGCUUCUUUGAGGAAUUUUAAACGGCUAGUUGGAAUUGUUGAAAUAAGCUACAACACAGGGGAAUGAACUUAGAAAUAAAUCAUAUCAAGUAAAGGUAAGCUGAUCAACUGUAAUACUAAAGGUAUUAAAAGUGGUGAGAGUAUCCGACUAUCUUUACCAAUGAAGUAAUGGGAUCCUGUUGAUUAGUCUUUCUCUCCCAGAGCAAAAUACAUUCUUCUCUUAGCUACACAAAAGAUUUGAGUUUGAAGGAUAAAAAGUUUUCCUAAAUGGAAAUUAACCUGAUUACAUUUUUCAUAUUUUCAUCAGGACAUUCAAGACAGUACAUUGUAAAACCAUGCUCUGAUAUAUGUAUUUACUUAAAAAGUCCUAUUUAUUUUGAAUACAAUGAAAAUGGCAGGUGGUCUUACUAGAUGCAAAACACGUUUACAUUUCAUUAAUGCUGUCAGAGUUCAAUGAGAAAAAAUGUAUAAAAUUUUUAAAAAAAUCAUUAAGGUUACACUGAAAAUAGUUUUGUUACAUAUUUUUUUUAAAAUGCAACAGUUUAAAAUUGGAUUAGUACUGAUUGAUGACGCCAAACAAAAACAGAUGCCCUAGAAAACACAAAGGAUACAAGAAACACCAAUACACGUAUAUUAGCUUAUGUGUUAACAUCCAUUCUCUAAGGCAGCAGUUGGGUUUAUCAGGGAGAAACAAGCAUGUAGUCAGCUACAGAAUUCUGCUUGGAGAACUUCUAGUACACCCACCUCAUUUCACCAAGGUGAAAUAGGCUUCAAGGCACAUAAAGUGACUUGCUCAUGGAGUGACUAGGAACCUAGGUCUCCUGACCACCAAAGGCAGUGCUUGUUCUACCAUGGUACACUUAGUAUGGGUCUUACUUAAAAGAUGAUCUCUAUUAAUGAGGUACUCAAAAUAGAUAAGAAACCUCAGAAUCUAGAAACAUAGUUAAGAAAAAGAAGAGACACAAAGAUGUAAAGAUUGGGCUACAUUUAAGGAAAACCUGAAAGUCUGGUUUCACUGAUUUGCAGAAUGACAAUAAAUUAGCUCAUGCAAAUUAUAUGCCAUAAUAUAUAUUAACCUUCAUCUAUGAAAAUGUUAGAUUUUCUAUAAAUUAGUUUUAUAGUAAUGGGCUUAAAAUGAACAAUGCAUAAAUCACUGUCACAUUUAAAAAAUAAUGACAUGCAUUUGCAAGUAAGCUGCCUAUAGUAAAUAUGAGGUAUAUCUCUUAUUUCAGGCACUUUAUUUCAUAUAUACACUGUUAAAGCUAUUCAAUUCAAAUCUAAAACAUCAUUUUGUGACCCCUUUUUCCAGGUAACAUUAUUUUUAUAAAAACAUUCUCUAAGGUCAGUUUUUCCUAUGCUGCAUAUUGGAUUAAAUUACAGAACAAAAUGACAAUGUAUUUUUUUUUUUUUUUUUGAGAUGAAGUCUCGCUCUUCUCUCCCUGGCUAGAGUGCAAUGGCGCGAUCUUGGCUCACUGCAACCUCUGCCUCCUGGGUUCAAGCGAUUCUCCUGCCUCAGCCUCCCAAGUAGCUGGGAUUACAGGCGCCUGCCACCAUGCCCAGCUAAUUUUUAUACUUUUAGUAGAGACGGGGUUUCACCAUGUUGGCCAGGCUGGUCUCUAACUCCUUACCUCAGGUGAUCCACCCGCCUCGGCCUCCCAAAGUGCUGGGAUUACAGGCGUGAGCCACCGCACCCGGCCAUGUAUUUUUUACAUUGUUGUAAAAAAUUUUUUUCUGAAAAUGUAAAAAUAGGUUAUAGAGUAAAAGAUACAGAUAUUAGCAUCCUAACCAGUUAUAAAUACAUCAUUUUUAAAAACCGCUACAAAACUUCUAAAAAACAAGUUAAAAAAACACAUAAAAAGUUAGGAUAGUAUUUUAUAGUACAGGCAUAAUCAUAAUGAACAAGUGACAUACUGGAACUAAUACGACAUUAAAAAAACUUAUCUUUGAAUGCCCUCUCUUUACUCACCACAUUAACCAUUUAGAAUCAAGUAAUGAAACUGUUAAAGAAAAUACACACUAGAAAUUAAAAAAAAAAAUCACUUUAGGUUUAAACAAAAACUGAUGAAAUUUUUACCUGGCCCCAGAGUAAUGUUCCCAUUCCUAGGAAUAUUGACCAUAGCCACUGUUCUAUUGAAAGUUCUGAACAACUGAAAGGUUUUCCACCAAACUGCACAAUUAUUAUCUGGAGGAAUAAUCAAGAGUAAAUUUACUUAAAUCUUAAAUUUUAAAAUUCAUAUACUUAAAAAAAUAUCAAAUUUAUGUCCUCUAAAACAAGGUGAACAACCACUAUUCUGAUGAAUUGUAUUAUAUUAGUCACAACUGAAAAUAAGACAACUGAAAUAGACCUUUCCUCUUUCCCCUCCAGUCCACUUUGCCUCUUAGAAAAAAAGACAACUGAAAUAAAGUAAAAUCUCUGCCCAAUAUUUUUGAUGCAUGCGUAUUUCAUGUUUAAAUUACGCUUACUAAAAAGUAAAAUUCUUAUGACCAAGAAUAAUAAUUUUAUACUGUUUCCAAUAUAACCCCAAGCAACUACAUUCCCCUGUAUUUAGUACAACUCUUCAAAUAAUCUGUGCCUUUCUCAAAAUAUAGUACUCUUUUGUAGAAAAGACUGUAUGUUACUGGAAAAAUGCACAAUAUUAAAAAAAUUCCACAUAGCUGUUUAUUUCUAGUUAACAUUUAGACAUACUAAGAUAAACACAGACUAUAUGAGAAGAAAGGCAACUUGGAAAGUUCUAUGAAAUAUGGGCUAACUCAGGUGAGGUGAUCUCAGAUUUGCUCUCCUUUAUGAAAAGAGUGAGGUCUGAUGAUGAAUAUAAAUUCAUAAUACAGUGCUUAUGUUUUGCUUGUUAUUCUAAAAGGCCUAAAAUAGUGUGCAUGGAAAUAUUAAGAAUUAACUGGGGUUGGGUGUGGUGACUCAUACCUGUAAUUCUAGCACUUUUGGAGGCUGAGGUGAGAGGACUGCUUGAGCCCAGGAGUUCAAGACCAGCCUAGGCAACAUAGCAAGACCCUGUCUUAAUUAAAAAAUAAAUAAUUUUUUAAAAAAAGAAUCAAUUAACAAUAUUCACCCUCCUGUGAGUCUGACAGGCCUCUCUUUGAUAUGGCAGUUAACUAGUUCCCAAAUAUUAAAAUCAAAAAUAAUUUUGGUAGUUAACAUUUUAAAACCUUAAAGUUACAAUUCCUUUCUUUUUAGCUCUACUUUAUUCAAAUUCAAGUCAUUUUCACUUCUCGGUUCCACUAUUUUUUAAGUUAAUUUGUGCACUUGUACAGAUAGAUUUCCAACUGCUUUGUUAGUAGCCCAAUUAGAUUACAACUGAUUUGACAAUCAGGUCUGGAUUUUAGUAGAGAUAUAAAACUGAAGUAAUUUUCUUUUAUAAAUCAAGAAAAUAAUGAGCAUGAAGAAUUCAAUAUGUAUUUGUACAAGUGAUCUUAAUUUUUUUUAAAAUUUAAACCUGAUCUUUUUUUUGGUAUAAUGUGGGAUGUAAAAAGAAUACUAAAAUGCUGGGAAACAAUUAAUUGAUUGGCUGACUUUGUUUCCUAAGAAAUAAUAUCUUUCACUUUACAGUUGGAAGAAAUAAAACUGUUUGUCUAGUUGGUUGUGGCAUUUACUUCUAAGAACAGGAGAUUCAGUUCCCAUAUUCUUUAACAUAUACCUUAAAUCACCAUGAUAUUAUAUAUGUCACCAAGGCAACAGUUCCACACAUGUUCCACACAAGUGAUUGCUAGAACAAGCUGUUUACCUAAUGUCUCCCAUUUAACAGGCAAAUUUGAAACUAUCUUUUCCAAUUACCCACCUGUACCACAAAAGUGCCUAAAACAAUUGUGCAGAAGAUGGCAUUGUUAAAGAUUCCUUCGAAUACAUUUCUUUCACCAUGAAUUUUCCGGG